rnacentral:rRNA from 1 species
AUUGAACGCUGGCGGCAGGCCUAACACAUGCAAGUCGAACGGUAACAGGAAGAAGCUUGCUUCUUUGCUGACGAGUGGCGGACGGGUGAGUAAUGUCUGGGAAACUGCCUGAUGGAGGGGGAUAACUACUGGAAACGGUAGCUAAUACCGCAUAACGUCGCAAGACCAAAGAGGGGGACCUUCGGGCCUCUUGCCAUCGGAUGUGCCCAGAUGGGAUUAGCUAGUUGGUGGGGUAACGGCUCACCUAGGCGACGAUCCCUAGCUGGUCUGAGAGGAUGACCAGCCACACUGGAACUGAGACACGGUCCAGACUCCUACGGGAGGCAGCAGUGGGGAAUAUUGCACAAUGGGCGCAAGCCUGAUGCAGCCAUGCCGCGUGUAUGAAGAAGGCCUUCGGGUUGUAAAGUACUUUCAGCGGGGAGGAAGGGAGUAAAGUUAAUACCUUUACUCAUUGACGUUACCCGCAGAAGAAGCACCGGCUAACUCCGUG